GAAUUCUGAGACUGAACCUUCUCUAGAGGCAGCCCACCAUAGCUGAAGCUUCUCUUAUUCUAGGUUAGCCUUUUUUUUUUCCUCCUUCUUCUUUUGUAAGGAAAGUUGUGGACAAAAAUUGGAACAACAGUAUAUCCCCAUUAAUAUAAUAAUGCUAAACUCAGGAUUUCAGAUUAUUGAAAUCUAUGGAGUGAAAAGAUUUGAAAGUUAGGAUGUGAAAGCAGAAGGGGAUCUUGGGCCUUGUCUUUAUUUUAGAGACGGGAAAAUAGGCUUCAGGGUCACUCUGCUGAGUCACAAAAUUGAAAUGCGAUUAUCAGACCUUUACUUUUCUUUCUUUUAUACUAAGUGGAAACCCAUACUAGUAUAUUACUUGUCAUCAGGAAGAUAAGAAAUGAAGGUUUUUCUGAGUAAUUCUGAAGUUUUUCUGAAGACUUUCAUAAACCCAGCAUAUUUAUCCCAGCAUGUUUAUCUGAGGCAGACCUCAGAUUGGGACUACUUUUUGUUUCUGUUUAGACAUAGAGUUCCAGUAGCACAUCUUGUAGAGCAAAAUUGAACCAUAGCGAUCUUAGAUUUCUUCCUGCUCUCAAUCAUAUUGUGCCUUUGUUGAAUGUUUAUUGUGAUUCAGCACUGUGUUAAAUAUAUUUCUUAUGAAGUCAAACUUUCUUGCAAAUGGCUCUGCCUCUUGUUAUCAAGUUGUUUUGCCUCCUUGCUUCAGUUUCUUCAUCUGUUAACUAUUGACUACAUCAUAGGAUUGUAUUGAGGAUGAAAUGAAUUAUAUGUGGGAGAUAUUCAUUCAGUACAGUGCUUGGCAUCCCCUGAGAAGUUAAUUUUUCUUUCUAUCGUCAUUUUCAUUCUGUUUCUGGGAAAAAGUAAGACUGACAUCCUCCCUGAAAUCCACAUGGAUUUAUCUGUGCCUGUAUCUCUAGUCUCUCUGUUCUGUUUAAAUGAUGUCAUAGCUAAGUAAUUCCAAAACAUCAAAAAGCUAACUUUGCUCACAUGUGAGUGACAGCCAGCUCCACCUAGUGGUGACGAUCCUAUCUUCUAAUGUAUCCCUCCUGAGUAAAGUUCCCCAGUUCCUUGUUUGCCAUGGUUUCCCAACUCUAGAACUUUUCAUAUGCUGUUUCUUUUACUUGAAAUGCCUCUUAACUCUACCCAGUCUCUCCACUCUUCUUCUCCACCUCCUACACAUUAAGUGCUGUCUUUAUUCCCGUAGCAUUUCUUUUCUUUUUUGGUGUUAUUGGGGAUUGAAUCCAGGGGCACUUUACGUCCCAGCCCUUUUUAUUAUGAGAUUGGGGCUCUCAUUAAGUUGCCUAGGCUGGCCUUGACUUGUGAUCCUCCUGCCUUCUUCUCCAGAGCUGUUAGGAUUACAGGCAUGCACCAUUAUAUCUGGUUCUUUACGUUCGUUUCUUUAUCAGAGUACACACCAUAUUAUGCUACCAGUUUGUGUCAUCCACACUAGGCUGAGCUCCAUGAGUCCAUGGGAUCAGAAUCUACUUUUGUCUUUUUAUUACAGCUAACCCAAUUCCUGGCUCACAAUAGGCAUCUAAAAAAUGAAUAACUUAAUAAUGUAAAACAUUCUUGAGUAAAUUGUUAUAACCAAAUCAAAUCUCAAAUUAGGUUAUAGUGGGUUCAAAUUUUUAUGAGAUUUGAUUUGGUUGUAACAAUAUGUGUGAAGACUGUAUCAGUCUAGUAUAUUCAUAACAGUAAGUCUGUCAGCAGCUAAAAUGAUUGUCAGAAGCUACAAACAUGCCUGAAACUGCAGGACUGCUGAGCGAUUUGCAACCGUCUUUAUACCAGUUUUCAGUUAGAGUAGAAAACUGAAAUUACACGUGCUAAAACACUACUUUUGUAAAACUACAGGGGCUACAGUCUUGAGUUAAAUGGAUCAAUGUAGGUACAGUCACCAGUUUCCCUCUCUGUACUGUGGAGUUGAGGACAGUAAAACAGACUAAGAGGGCAUUGGGAAGAGGAAGAGUAAGGCAAUGAUCAGAAUUCUGACAAAAUGAUAUGUCUGCACUGUCUACCUACAAGUCUCUAUGCUACUAUCACCACUCUGUGACCUUGGGCAAGUUAAGUAAUUUCUCUGACUCAUUUUUUCACCUGUAAACUAGAGGUCUCUCUUACCUACAUCUGAAGUACCUAUCUAUCUCAUGGGAUUAUAAUUUUUUUUUUAAUAUUUAUUUUUUAGUUUUAGGUGGACACAGUAUCUUUAUUUUACAUUAAUGUGGUUCUGAGGAUGGAGCCCAGUGCCUCAUGCAUGUUAGGCGAGCACUCCACCACUGAGCCACAACCCCAGCCCCUGGGACUGUAAUCUUUAAGAUUAAAUGAGAUCAUUAUUAUAAGUGCCCAGUAAAUGUUAGCUAUUAUAGUUUUUUCUGUUUAAAAAUGGUGAGAGGAUCAAUUGUGAGAAGGUCUCUGACAUUAGAGAUCAUACCUGCCUUGGUCACUACUGCAGCUCCAGCACUUGGCCUGCAUAUGGAUGCUAUUUAGCAAAUGUUUGUUAAAUUACUACAUAAAGACAAUUAUGGUAGAGUUUUUAGAGAUCUGUGAGUAUUGUCUUCUUUCCUAGCCUAUCUCUGGCUCAUGAAGCACUUCACUUCUGCACAGUACUUGGAUUCUUGAGUUUUCUUAUUCUUGUGUUAACUUUGG
rnacentral:lncRNA from 1 species